CAAAGGAUAGUUUAUAAAAAAUUCCGGUUUUGGGGACCGGGGAUGAAGGUGUAAGUCCUUUUCUUUUGA
rnacentral:tRNA from 1 species